CCAUUCCUUGUCUUGUCACCUGUGCAAUACCAUUUUGAUCCCUGCUUUGGUAUCUCUUGCGGUCAGGUUCCCCAUCAUUAUUCUUCAUUAAAAAAAUGUUCUGGGAUGUGCUUCCAGUUUUAUCUUUGAAGGAGGUAAAAUCAGUUGUCCACCGUUCUAAGGAUAGUAUUUAGAAACCAUUUUAAAUUGAAAGUCAUUUUAAAUCAGUACUGUGAACCUCUUCCCUAGGAAUAUGAAAGUUAUUCAUCUGGUUCUUUAAAAUAUGGAGCCAACUCUGCACGUAUAUGAAAGGAGGGAAUUAAGGAUGCCCAUGGUUUGAGCAACUAGCAAGAUUAAAUCUGCAAAUGGAGAUAAGUUGCUCUGUUUUAAGAAAUACUGUGAUCUUCCAUUAAAAAUGCCCCCCUGGGGAUUUUGUUACCUCUUUAUCUGAGUUUUGCAGUGAGAAAUGAGACCAUUCUGACUCUUAGGUGAUGAUUGAAGGUGAUUGAAGACCUGAUGGUUGACUUAUAAAAGUGUCCACCCUGGAGAUUCCUCCCCUGAGCCCAGAUAACAACAACCCUUUCAUAUUAUAAGGAAUCUCACAAGAUGCUCAUGGGAAAUGCAAACUCCCAAAACCCAGUUGUAGAGGCAACUGGGCUGAAGUGCAAAGUAGCCACAGAUGUUUCUAAUAACUCUCUCACCUCAACCCAAACUGCAGGUGAGUCAUUAAGGCAGGCUGGCUCAGCCUCCAUUACAACAGGGAGGGAGGGUUUCAUUGGAAUGAAACUGGAAUAAUCAUUGGCUACCUCUGGAAUAAUCAUUGGCUACCUCUGUAGGUUGCUGAUGUCAUUUGUCUGAAUACUUUCUAAUCUGCCAUUUAAUUUUCAGAUUCUAAAUCAACCAUUAGCACAAUGGGAGUAGCUGAGUUCUCCCAGAAUGGAAAGAAAGAAGAUGUGAGAGACACGUGUGUGCCUGGUUGCACAGGCAGGACCCUGGCUCCCCAGGAAUUAUUUAGGGUCUCGUGUCUCUGCUGCUGGAUCAUUCCUCUGUAGUCAAUGCAACCUACUGCAUUAACCAUGGUCUAGUUUAGAAUAAAAGUUCAAAGUCGUCAGCAUGGCAUGGAAGUGCAGACUGUGCACUUCCCAGGACUGGCUCUCAGCCCUGUUCACUAGUUCAGGUCCUUGGGCAUCUUCCUUAAUGUUUCUUGGCCUUGGUGUCCCUAUCUGUGAAAUAAUGACAUUAAUAUCUCCCCAGCAGGGAGGGGAAGUAUUAGAAUCAAUGUAUGCAAGGUACGUGCAAUGUAAAAGAUGCUCUGUAAGUGGUAGCUUUUAUGGUUCCACAUACAACUCUUGCUGGACAAAUGGGCAGGUUUGUUUGGGACUCAGGAGUUUCCCAGGAUGAAGUGUUUGGUGGGAAAGCUGGGACAGUCUCGGGAAAACAGGGGUGGUUAGUCAUCUACUAUGGGGAGAAAUUACAAUGCGUCCCAUAGGCAUCUGCUGUCAAUUUGCUUGCGAUUUAGGGUGGAGGUGGCACAUGCAAGGAAACUGAGUCACCCAUGCUCUGCAGGCAUGGCUGCCAGCUCACACAUUUCUUCUCUGUUGCCUUGCAGGGCGGCAGUGUUGGGAGCGGCGCAGGAAGGAGAAAAGACAACUCAAAGUCCAAGCAGCGAGAGACAGAAAGAGAGAGAGAGACAGAGUUGUAGAGGGGCUCACAUCUCUGGAGAUACAGCGCCCUUUUCCCUGGGCCAGUCUCACAUUUAUUGGGUAUCGGACUCAGGGAAGGUGGCACAUCCGUGGAGGAAUGUGUGGCGGAAUGUGCAUGAUGGGGAUGUGGAUUGGGGUACAUAAUAAUCUGGCACAACUGAUACACAAUAAUGUAUCUGGCACAAUAAUCUGGGGGGAGUGAAUCUGGGCUGUUGCCUGGGGGGCUCCAUUGUUGCUGCUGAUCAAAGCAUCCUCUCUCUAGUCCCUGUGUACACUUACCUUCCUGUCUAGGUAGUCUAGCUGGUUGUGCUAAUCUGGCCAUAAUGUCUGCUGCUGUUUCCAGCAGAUAUCCUCAUACCAAGGCUUUUGCCCUGGUGAGGGGCCCCCUGCCUGACUCUGCAUUUUAGUUUGACCAGCAGCAACUCUGGGCACCAAGACUACAUCCUGAGAACAAGGGGGGCUGGGAAAUUCAUAAUUCUCUCCGAGGGAACCCGUCCUCAGAAGUUUUCCCAACACGGGCGACCACGUUGUGUUGCAGGUCAGAAAUGACAGAAGAAAUGAAACUUGCUUGGCUCCUUAGGCAGUGGCUAGGGUUUCCAAAAUUCCCUCUUUCUCCAAAAUGAAAGUUUCCGUGUCUGUGACUUGGACUCCAGCUAGACCUUGAGAGUGAAAACAGUUUCACACUCCUUUGUGAUUUUCUUCAAUCUCUUAAAACAUGAACAUUUUCAUUAAUACCUGACAGAAGAAUGUGCAAACACAAAAAGAAUGAAAAGGUACUUUAAAAUGAAGACCUGAAAGAAAGAACAACUUUUUGUAAAAAGUCUCAGGAUAUAGUAUGUCCACUGAUUUUGGAAGCGAUAUCAAGAGCUUCCUUCUGAAUGGUUCUGCUAAACUCAGGAGCAAAUGUUGGAGGAGAUUUUUAAGAAAUGUUUUCUCUAUCUAGUAUGUUAAAGUUCUGGAGUGAAUAGGAGCCAAGGGGGGGAAAUACACACACUGGGCUGGAUGGAGCUAUAGAGACAGCUUCACCAGUUCCAUUAGGUUACAGUUUUAAUAUCCUUCUGUGUCUUUUCCAGAUCAAAGGUUUCAAGUGGGGGGCACAUCUUUCUCUUCACAGGUUGUGUGCACAACCCAGAAUCCUUAGUGUUCCCAGUGACCAUGGACCACGUGGAUAUCAGUGAUGGGUAAAUCAAACAAAGCCAGAGAGCAGAUUCAGAGAGCACUACAAUGUAUAUGAGCCAAGAAGAAAAAGAUCUGGAAGGAUAGUCAUCAGAACACUUGCCAUGGUUAUAUCAUCACCACGUAUCAAAGAGAUACGGGAUGUCGCCGUGGUGGAGUGGUGAAGGAUAAUUGAAAUUAUAUCCGUGGCUCUUAAACAGAGCGGUUGGGGGCAGCGUAAGCACCAGCCAGUGGAGACCAGCACCCUGUGUUGGCCGGAGCAGACUGCAGCGAGCAGGAAAAGAAACCACACUUUAGAAAAAACAUCACCGUUUCAGGAUCCCACUCCAUUUGGACGCUGGGCAAUAAAUCCAGGCUCAAACCAUUUCAUCAUUGUGAGCAGGUUUCCCGUCUGUGUUUAUCAAUAGCCAGACUCAUGUGCUUUGGUCAUUAACACAGUUUAUUAUUGGCACACUUAUCAGGAAAGCAUACAUAAAAUACAG